rnacentral:lncRNA from 1 species
CUGCAAAGCUCAAUAGGGGAGACAGAAGAGCAACAAAAAGAAGCUAAGAGGAACCAGGGCUGAAUGCCAACUGGCUGUCAGAGUCACACUGAUGUCAGCUCACGCCAGAUGCCCGCGAACAAAUGGAGUUUGUCAAAAUUUUAAAGCCCAUGAUGUUCUCUGAUGGGAGUAAUGUCUCCUCCUCAGGACCAAGAGUGAAGAACCAGGGCAGUGACAGGCAUGUGUUUGGAUCCCCAGGACCCUGUUCUGAUGGGCACUGAGGUUCUCGUUUGAGCCGACUCAAGAAAUGAAGAAAGUUCUCUCGGCCGUUUAAAAAUAGAUAAGCAAAAAAGGAGGAGAAGGAGAAAAGGAGAGAAGGAAGAGGAGAAGGAGAAAAAGAGAGAAAAGGUACGAGAAAUUGCAUUAAUGCCACACUUCAGACAAAAGCAUUGUUAGCCCCUCAG